GAGGGCAUAGCUCAGUGGUAGAGCGCGUGCUUCGCAUGUACCAGGUCCUGGGUUCAAUCCCCAGUACUCUCU
rnacentral:tRNA from 1 species